rnacentral:lncRNA from 1 species
CCAGGUGUGCACACAGACGGGUGCAAGUAGCCCAGCUGUGGCAGGUCAGGGAAGGAGCGGGAGGAGAGGCAGGCGAGGCCAAGGCAGAGGCAGGGCGCACAGGGCCCGCGGGCCCAGCAGGUAGCUGACUGACAGCUGAAGGUAGUGCACACGCCGAGGGUUUCAAACAGGAUUCUGCUCCAAUUUUACCAUUGCGUCUUCCUCCCACCUGGACCUUUCAAAGAAGAGGCACUCAAGGAGCGUUCAUUGAUGUGAACUGAAGAGGCCAAACCCACAGCGGGCUACAGACCUACGUGCUAAGAAGAAAGAUCCCCCUUUCCUUUCUCCUCCUCGCUCCCUAACCUGAGCCCCCUUCCUUCCUGCAAGCCCUGCCCUUGGCUGGGAAGUGGAAACAACCAGAACAGGCACAAAGCCACCCCAUGCAGAUGACAGACUGACCUCCCAGCUGGGUUCCUGGAUGCCCUGGACCACUUACUCCUCCGGCAGAACAGGGAAGGCCCACCCGCUCACCUCUGGACCACAGCAUAAGAGAGGAGGAGACACCCGCUUCCGUUAGACCCCGCAUCCCUGAGCCCUCCGUGCACCAGCUCCGUCUGGACCUUCUGCAGCCCACAGCCUUACUUUGGAGAUUGCAGAUACCACAUCCAAGCUACUAGACACAGUGGAUCUGUGGUUAGUGGAUACUAACAGGAUUUCUAAGACACUCGGGAGCUAGUUUCAGAGCUCCAGCUGGCCCAAACUUGGCCAGAUUCUGGGAUCAAUCUC